rnacentral:rRNA from 1 species
AUAUUGCACAAUGGGCGAAAGCCUGAUGCAGCGACGCCGCGUGAGGGAUGACGGCCUUCGGGUUGUAAACCUCUUUCAGCAGGGACGAAGCGCAAGUGACGGUACCUGCAGAAGAAGCACCGGCUAACUACGUGCCAGCAGCCGCGGUAAUACGUAGGGUGCAAGCGUUGUCCGGAAUUACUGGGCGUAAAGAGUUCGUAGGCGGUUUGUCGCGUCGUUUGUGAAAACCAGCGGCUCAACUGCUGGCUUGCAGGCGAUACGGGCAGACUUGAGUACUGCAGGGGAGACUGGAAUUCCUGGUGUAGCGGUGAAAUGCGCAGAUAUCAGGAGGAACACCGGUGGCGAAGGCGGGUCUCUGGGCAGUAACUGACGCUGAGGAACGAAAGCGUAGGUAGCGAACAGG